rnacentral:tRNA from 1 species
CGGCUCGUAGCGCAGCCUGGUUAGCGCGCCUCGUUCGGGACGAGGAAGUCGGAGGUUCGAAUCCUCUCGAGCCGACCA